GAGCUUCCUACGAGCACCCUCCGCCUGUCCCGAGAUCACCUUACACCUGUGCUCUGCUCCUCGGGGCCCAGGGGGAGGGAAACGGGAGAUCCCUGCUCUGGAGAGCAUCCACCAGCAGCCCGUCAGCCGGAGAGGUUUUCUCCCAGCCUUUAGGACAGCUUUUCCUGGGGAAGGGAGGAUCCGACCUCUGCCCGGCCAGCAGAGCGCAGAGGGAACACGGCAAGCUGCUAAAGUACAGCUCAGGAGGGCAUUAGCCUUUGUACUCGAGUGUCUCCUGCUCAUAAACUCGCUGUGAUGUCAAUAACAGAGGGCAUGGCUGGGCAGGGUCUUCCUCAGCACCGUGCCCUGAGCCCUCCUGUCCCCCUUCCUCCACCACCUCCCAUCCCCUGGAUGCCAGCAAGGUCAGGAUUCUCCCGUCAUCCCUCCCCAAGGGCCUUUCUCUCCAGUUACCUCUCUUGCUUUAACUCUUCCCAUUGCACCUCUGGAGCUCUCAGCAGGAGCACAACUCACUUCAGGCUUUCUCAAAAGCCCACUUCUUCAAUGGUCUUUCCAUCUGGGGUCUGACCAGGUAAACUGAGUCCAAAUCACCCAGGAAAUUCAGGAGAUACUUGGAUAUCUCAAACUCUAUGACUUCAGGAGUCCUUAAAGUACUUCUUUUCUGUAGUCAGUUUCAUAAACUCGUCUCAAGCCUGUAUCCCUAGGUAUCAGCAGCCGAGACCAGUGGCUGUAACUGGAAACUAUUGGGAACAUUCCUGUUUCUGAAGUGUAGAGUGAAAAGGAAGUAGGUGGCUGUGAUUCAACGACUGUGACCGGACUGUAAUCCAAACUCUGUGAAGCUGGUGAUGCACGGAAACCUCUGGAUCUGGAUCCUUUCUGCAAGGUGUGAUCCCAAAGGGUGAGCUCUAGGCACCUAUGUGCUGCCGGGCCGUCUGCGGGCUCUGAACCCCCAGCAAUGGCUCUCCCUUCCCAGUGCAGCAUCCCCAGGGCUGGCUCUGCAGCACCAGACAGUGCUCCCAUCAACAGGUUCCCCCAGAGGGAAAAUAUCUGCACGGACGUGGAAGGAGAGGAGCUCUGAUGACAGAGCAGAAAAUCAGCACUCUCUGCCUCUCACCCAUCAGCCUCGGCACAUCGCAAAGCUGCAGCAUCUCAGCCGGGACGGAGAUCACUCCUUCAUUUCCUCAUGACUCUUCCACGCAUCAUUCCUCUCCAGAAUGGUGUUUAGAGAAACAGAUUGCCCCGGAGAGACGGAAUUCAUUUGAGCAUGCUACCAUCAAAAAUCUCUAGGUGCAGCCCCCAUGAUUUAUAACAGCCUUCCUUAUAUAACAAAGGCCCGUUAAUUAUUUAAAAUUUGCAGAGAGAAAUCAGAUUAAAUAUAUAUGAUGGAUGGCAAUCCUCAAUUAAAGAUUAAGCUUCACGCAGCUGGGUGGGACGGGACGCAGUCGGGAGCGGUGAGGCUGAGGAGCUGUGGUGGGCAUAUGCUGCGUGGUGUGACGGGAGGCAUUCCCAGUCCGGAGCAGGCGUCUGGCCUCGGAGAGUGACGGGGAAUUGAUGAUUCUUUUGUCCCUUCAGCACUGUCCCCAACCAAAAGUGCCACGCGGUGCCAAGGAGGCGGUGAGGGGCUUCCUCCCCUGCCCAGCUGGUGAUUAGCGUGCGGUGAUUACUCCUAAUUCCUCCACCCUCUCCGCGUGCCCGCAGACGCUUCUCCCAUUCAUAUAAACACAUAAUCCUGUUCUGAAUCUCUCUGACCGCUUCCUCGGCAGUGCCCUCCAGCAGCCGGGUACCCCGGGCGGGCGACACAGACUCAUACCAAUAAUUCAGCCCUUUAACAUUCUUGUGCUCAUGCUAAAUAGCCCAAUAAUGCCAUUAAGCAUAGAAAAAAGGAAAACACUUCAUCCGCUUUCCUGCACAGACCCACAGUCCAAGGGCUUUUCAUUCUCUCAUAUGGCAAAUAAAAGUCAUAAAAAUACCUGAGCACUUGCCCAUUUUUAGCCUCCAAUCAGUUCUCUUUGGAGGAGAUUUGCUCAGGAAAUUGUUAUUGUUAAUGUGUCCCUUUUCCCAUUGGUAUUCCAGUGUAAAUGCUCAAACAUCCUCCAAGUACAACAGGGAUUUUUUUUCUGCUUCUCAAUGCCAAAUGAUAGACCAUAUUUCACGAAAAAAAAAAAAGUCUUUUAGUGAGAAGGAUGAGAACCACCAGCUUCUGGACAAGUUUCAAUUAGCAGGGUGCUUCCUUGCAAUCCAGCAUCCACUGUUGGGUGACAGACGGGGUCUGCUGAACAGACAGAGAAAAUAAAUAGCAUUUUAUGUCUUUAUUAGGUACCAAUGUAAACCACGGGAAAAUCAAGGUAACAAUUAGCUGGUAAACAGGGAAACUUCCCACUUUGGGUUCAAUAUAUUCUUGAAAUCCUACUGAUGGAACUCAGGCCAUCCCAACGUACACUAGAGCUCCUCCAAACCUCAAGCAGUUCUACUGUUGUGGACCUGGGGAUGAAAUCCAUCUGACCUAGUCGCUCUGGGGCCCUUUCAUCCCCAACAGAGAGGAACAGGAGCUUUUGAAAUGCAAUUCCUCUCAUCAUCCUGAAGCAGACAUCUGAAAAAUGUCAAAUGAGUGUUACCAUGGAAGUGCCUCUUUCUCUCUGUCGAGGGAGGCUGCGUUGCUGUAAGGGCUCGUGCUGAAGCAGAAGUGCCCCAAGUGUGAAGGCAGAGCUCGUUUCCUCUGGCUUGAGCUUCCCCAGUGCGUGUGACGCUGCGUUGGCACGUUGGGGACACUGCAGCCUGCCCCUUAGAAGAGAGCCAUCAUCUCCCUGCGUUUCCUGGCCACCUGGGUCAGCUCUGCACAGCAGCUCCUCUCUGCAGGGAGCCAUGGCCACCACCCCACCUCUGCGGGACCACCUUCCCCCACCUCAGCCAGCCUUCGCUUCCAGCCUUUCCGUAAGAACACACGGAAGGAAAGCCAAGCAUCACGUCCUCUUUGGGGCCCUCAACAACCUUGUCUGGACAGAUUUUUAGUGACUGUUUCAUCAUUUUCCUAGAAAUACCACGCACACUCCAUGCAAAAAUGUU